rnacentral:rRNA from 1 species
AGAACGAACGCUGGCGGCAUGCCUAACACAUGCAAGUCGAACGCCUGUAGCAAUACAGGAGUGGCGCACGGGUGAGUAACGCGUGGGAACCUACCCUGGAGUGGGGGAUAACCGAGAGAAAUUUCGGCUAAUACCGCAUACGACCUGAGGGUGAAAGAUUUAUCGCUCUAGGAGGGGCCCGCGUCGGAUUAGCUAGUUGGUGGGGUAACGGCCUACCAAGGCAACGAUCCGUAGCUGGUCUGAGAGGAUGAUCAGCCACACUGGGACUGAGACACGGCCCAGACUCCUACGGGAGGCAGCAGUGGGGAAUAUUGGACAAUGGGGGCAAUCCUGAUCCAGCAAUGCCGCGUGAGUGAUGAAGGCCUUAGGGUUGUAAAAGCUCUUUCGGCGGGGACGAUGAUGACGGUACCGCAGAAGAAGCCCCGGCUAACUUCGUGCCAGCAGCCGC